AACGCUAGCUACAGNGCUUAACACAUGCAAGUCGAGGGGCAUCAGGGGUAGCAAUACCGCUGGCGACCGGCGCACGGGUGUGUAACACGUAUCCAACCUACCGUUAACUCGGGGAUAGCCUUUCGAAAGAAAGAUUAAUACCCGAUAGUAUAUUUUCUUCGCAUGUUGAAAAUAUUAAAGAAUUUCGGUUAUCGAUGGGGAUGCGUUCCAUUAGGCAGUUGGCGGGGUAACGGCCCACCAAACCUACGAUGGAUAGGGGUUCUGAGAGGAAGGUCCCCCACAUUGGAACUGAGACACGGUCCAAACUCCUACGGGAGGCAGCAGUGAGGAAUAUUGGUCAAUGGACGAGAGUCUGAACCAGCCAAGUAGCGUGAAGGAUGACUGCCCUAUGGGUUGUAAACUUCUUUUAUAUGGGAAUAAAGUUCUCCACGUGUGGAGUUUUGUAUGUACCAUUAUGAAUAAGCAUCGGCUAACUCCGUGCCAGCAGCCGCGGUAAUACGGAGGAUGCGAGCGUUAUCCGGAUUUAUUGGGUUUAAAGGGAGCGUAGGUGGACUGGUAAGUCAGUUGUGAAAGUUUGCGGCUCAACCGUAAAAUUGCAGUUGAUACUGUCAGUCUUGAGUACAGUAGAGGUGGGCGGAAUUCGUGGUGUAGCGGUGAGAUGCUUAGAUAUCACGAAGAACUCCGAUUG
rnacentral:rRNA from 1 species